AAGAAAGUCAAAAAUGCGCAUUUCGCGAAAAUUAAAAAGUCUUGAGAGAGUUCUGGUAGAAGCUAAACUUUUUUGUUUUUUUUUUUCUUUCCUCCCUCUCGUAAAUAGGAGGAAGAAAAGCCGAAUCAUCAAAGCGACCGUGUGUCAAUGUUACGCUUUAAAAUGGCGUAACGGGAUUUCUCACGCGAAAUAUUCCCCUAACCCAGAGUCACGCAUUGAAGUAGGGGAGCUUCUCCACAUACGAGGUCACUGAAAUCCAACAGAUCGUUUUCCCCCUUCUGUGUGUGUGUAUGUAUGUGUGUGUGUGUGUGAGAAGUAAAACACGCGAAGAGUGCAUCAGGGU
rnacentral:lncRNA from 1 species